AUAUAAACUAAAGUAUAACCUGCUCAAUGAUAAAUUAAAUAGCCGCAGAUUCACUGUGCUAAGGUAGCAUAAUAAUUAGCUUCUUAAUUAGAAGAUUGAAUGAAAGGUCACACUAAUAAUAACUGUUUCUUAUAAAUAAAUAAAUUUUAUUUUUAUGUAAAAAAGCAUAAAUACAAACAUAAGACGACAAGACCCUGAUAAACUUAACAUUUAAUUGGGGCAAUAAAUUAAUUAUACUUUAAUAAAAAACAACACAAAACUAUUUUAAAUAAUAAAGAAUAGUUACUACAGGGAUAACAGCGCAAUAUUUUUUCAAAGCUCUUAUAUAAAAAAAUGAUUACGACCUCGAUGUUGAAUUAAUUUACCUUUAUUGGUGCAAAAACUAAUUAAAGUAGGUCUGUUCGACCUUUAAUAAAUU
rnacentral:rRNA from 1 species